AGAGUUUGAUCAUGGCUCAGAACGAACGCUGGCGGCAGGCCUAACACAUGCAAGUCGAACGAGAAGCCUUCUUCGGAAGGUGGAGAGUGGCGCACGGGUGAGUAACGCGUGGGAAUUUGCCUUUUGGUACGGGAUAACGUCUGGAAACGGACGCUAAUACCGUAUGAUAUCUACGGAUUAAAGAUUUAUCGCCAGAAGAGGAGCCCGCGUAGGAUUAGGUAGUUGGUGGGGUAAAGGCCUACCAAGCCGACGAUCUUUAGCUGUUCUGAGAGGAAGAUCAGCCACACUGGAACUGAGACACGGUCCAGACUCCUACGGGAGGCAGCAGUGGGGAAUAUUGGACAAUGGGGGCAACCCUGAUCCAGCCAUGCCGCGUGAGUGAAGAAGGCCUUAGGGUUGUAAAGCUCUUUCGCUAGGGAAGAUAAUGACGGUACCUAGUAAAGAAGUCCCGGCUAACUCCGUGCCAGCAGCCGCGGUAAUACGGAGGGGACUAGCGUUGUUCGGAAUUACUGGGCGUAAAGAGUACGUAGGCUGUUGAUCAAGUUGGGUGUGAAAGCCCGGGGCUCAACCCCGGAACUGCAUUCAAAACUGAUCAGCUAGAGAUCGGAAGAGGUAAGUGGAAUUCCCAGUGUAGAGGUGAAAUUCGUAGAUAUUGGGAAGAACACCGGUGGCGAAGGCGACUUACUGGUCCGAAACUGACGCUGAGGUACGAAAGCGUGGGGAGCAAACAGGAUUAGAUACCCUAGUAGUCC
rnacentral:rRNA from 1 species